rnacentral:rRNA from 1 species
AUUGAACGCUGGCGGCAUGCCUUACACAUGCAAGUCGAACGGCAGCACGGGGCAACCUGGUGGCGAGUGGCGAACGGGUGAGUAAUGCAUCGGAACGUGCCAUUGAGUGGGGGAUAACGUAGCAAAAGUUGCGCUAAUACCGCAUAUUCUGUGAGCAGGAAAGCAGGGGACCGCAAGGCCUUGCGCUCUUUGAGCGGCCGAUGUCAGAUUAGCUAGUUGGUGAGGUAAAGGCUUACCAAGGCGACGAUCUGUAGCGGGUCUGAGAGGAUGAUCCGCCACACUGGAACUGAGACACGGUCCAGACUCCUACGGGAGGCAGCAGUGGGGAAUUUUGGACAAUGGGCGCAAGCCUGAUCCAGCCAUGCCGCGUGAGUGAAGAAGGCCU